GGCAAGAUGGCCGAAUGGUUAAGGCGUGUGACUCAAGCUAAGCUUUCACCUCCAAGGUGGUGCAUUCACAUCCGUAAGGGUUCUGGGUUCGAGUCCCAGUCUUGUCA
rfam:Grosmannia clavigera kw1407 unplaced genomic scaffold GCSC_161, whole genome shotgun sequence.